UACAGAGGGUGCAAGCGUUAAUCGGAAUUACUGGGCGUAAAGCGCGCGUAGGUGGUUUGUUAAGUCGGGUGUGAAAGCCCCGGGCUCAACCUGGGAAUUGCAUCCGAUACUGAGUAACUAGAGUAUGAGAGAGGGAGGUAGAAUUCCACGUGUAGCGGUGAAAUGCGUAGAUAUGUGGAGGAAUACCGGUGGCGAAGGCGGCCUCCUGGCUUAAUACUGACGCUGAGGUGCGAAAGCGUGGGGAUCAAACAGG
rnacentral:rRNA from 1 species